rnacentral:tRNA from 1 species
AGAAACUUAGGAUAAUCAAACCGAAGGCCUUCAAAGCCUUAAACAAGAGUUAGACCCUCUUAGUUUCUG